rnacentral:rRNA from 1 species
UACGUAGGGGGCAAGCGUUGUCCGGAAUCACUGGGCGUAAAGGGCGCGUAGGCGGCCUGAUAAGUAGGGGGUGAAAUCUUGCGGCUCAACCGCAAGGCUGCCUUCUAAACUGUCAGGCUGGAGCACGGUAGAGGCAGAUGGAAUUCCCGGUGUAGCGGUGGAAUGCGUAGAGAUCCGGAGGAACCCCAGAGGCGAAGGCGGCGCCCUGGCUCGCAACUGACGCUCAGACACGACAGCAUGGGGAGCGAACGGG